rnacentral:rRNA from 1 species
CGGAUUGCAGGCUGCAACUCGCCUGCAUGAAGUCGGAAUUGCUAGUAAUCGCAGAUCAGCAUGCUGCGGUGAAUACGUUCCCGGGCCUUGUACACACCGCCCGUCACACCAUGGGAGUCGGUAACACCCGAAGUCGGUAGCCUAACCGUAAGGAGGGCGCCGCCGAAGGUGGGAUUGAUGACUGGGGUGAAGUCGUAACAAGGUAGC